ensembl:lncRNA
AACAAAACGGAGCUAUUUCAUCUACACAAAUAAUAUUUUUGGAAAAAAUGAACAUUUGCUAUCUAACUAAGAGUCUCGUCAUUGAAAACAUCCAAAGUUCUUCAAAGAGCUAGAGGAGGAUAGGGAGCAGCUGGACAGAAUGAGAGCAACUCCGAUUUGGCUAUGGGUCACCUGGAUGGAAGCGGCGCGCACACACAAGGAUACAAUAUACAAUGCACAAUUGAGAGCAUCCUGUCGGGCUGUAUCACCACCAGGUACGGCAACUGCACCGCCAGCAACCGCAGGGCUCUCCAGAGGAUGGUGCGGU